rnacentral:rRNA from 1 species
GACGAACGCUGGCGGCGUGCUUAACACAUGCAAGUCGAGCGGUAAGGCCUUUCGGGGUCCACGAGCGGCGAACGGGUGAGUAACACGUGGGUGAUCUGCCCUGCACUUCGGGAUAAGCCUGGGAAACUGGGUCUAAUACCGGAUAUGACCUCCUAUCGCAUGGUGGGUGGUGGAAAGAUUUAUCGGUGCAGGAUGGGCCCGCGGCCUAUUAGCUUGUUGGUGGGGUAAUGGCCUACCAAGGCGACGACGGGUAGCCGACCUGAGAGGGUGACCGGCCACACUGGGACUGAGACACGGCCCAGACUCCUACGGGAGGCAGCAGUGGGGAAUAUUGCACAAUGGGCGAAAGCCUGAUGCAGCGACGCCGCGUGAGGGAUGACGGCCUUCGGGUUGUAAACCUCUUUCAGCAGGGACGAAGCGCAAGUGACGGUACCUGCAGAAGAAGCACCGGCUAACUACGUG